rnacentral:rRNA from 1 species
GAGAAAAAGUUCGAGGGGUUGGAGCUCCAUCAUAUACCCCGACUGAAAAAUCAAGCAGCUGAUGAUCUAGCAAAGAUAGGUUCCAAGAGAGAAGCCAUUCCGAGUGGUGUGUUCUUGGAGCAUAUACAUACUCCGUCAGUCAAAGAAGAUCCUUUCACCGAAGAAACUCCGCAGCCCAAGAGUGCCACAGAUCCGACUGAAGUUGAAGUCCCAGCGGUGGUCGACUUGAUCAUGGAGGUUUUGGUAGUCACUCCCGACUGGACGAUUCCGUAUGUCGCAUAUAUCUUGAGGAAAGAGCUUCCGGAGGAUGAGGAAGAGGCUCGACAGAUCGUCCGUCGAUCUAAGGCCUUUACCGUCAUCAAAGGACAAUUAUACAGAGAGAGCACGACUGGAGUCGGUCAGAAGUGCAUAACACCAGAAGAAGGUCGACUCAUCCUCAAUGAUAUUCACUCGGGGACCUGUGGUCAUCAUGCGUCCUCCCGGACCAUCGUGGCCAAAGCAUACCGAGCCGGAUUUUACUGGCCC